GGACCAUAGCUCAGUGGUUGAGCACUUGCCUUGCAUGGAGAAGGUCCCAGGUUCAAUCCCCAGCAUCUCCA
rnacentral:tRNA from 1 species